rnacentral:ncRNA from 1 species
AAGAUCCUUCUGGUUUUAAUCAGGUGUCAGAAAAGUUGCCACAGGGAUGACUGGCUUGGAAUAGCCAAGUGUUUAGAGCAACGCCACUGUUUGAUCCUUCGAUGUCGGCUCUUCCUGUCAUUGUGAAGCAGAAUUCACCAAGUGUUAUAUCGUUCACCCAUUAGUUUUACCCUACUGAUGUUGGCCGUUGUUGUGAUGGUU